GAGCAACAAGAUGGAAGCAACCUGAUCCCUAACUUCAAAAGUGUUCAACUAUGUUUCUAGAAGAAUGAUUUCUGAAGCUAUGUAGUCAUCUCUAAAUUUUUCACUACUGCUUCAACAACUUCCUGUGGUGCCACAUUCACACCAUGCCUAAUAUCAAAGUUCUAUUAACUGAAAUACAAGUGUAAGAGGAAGUUAAUGCUAAUUCACAAAAGGAAUAUGAUGAUUCUAAUUCUUUUAGUAUCAACAGAUCUAUGUUACUUCUAAAAGAAGGUAUUAAGGAAAGCCUGUAUGAAAUUUCAUUCAUCAGUCAAGACCAUACUGGCCUUGAAUAAAAUUUAUAAGCA
rnacentral:lncRNA from 1 species